rnacentral:lncRNA from 1 species
CAAUAAUACAUGAAACAAGAUCCUAAUACAAGACUAGUUAUAUAAGAGUGAAAAGUACUUAAAUAAGAAAUCCUAAAAGCCUUCAUAGUCUUCAACUUUCAUCCAUCGUUUCCAUCUACACAAUCGCUUAAGGGUAUACUUAUAUUUCUCACCUUUCAUAAGAGUGAAAGAUACUGUACGACCUACCUUUGCUUCAAUGCCAGAUAAUUUAUUUAUUUUUAUGUGUGGAAAGACGCAACUUUUGAACCAAGCCCACGAAUUGACCCAUCAACACUUCCAAAGUUUGUUGGAACAACAGGUGAUAAGGCUCCAGCAGAACUGAUAAGAUUUUCAAAUAGAAAGUCAGUUAAAUUCUAGUAGUACAUCAAACCAAGCUUUAGUUCAUAACUAAAAGAUAGUAGAUCACAGCAAAAAUCAAACCUAACAAAUGAAAAGAUGAUCAAGAACAAAGCAAUCAAGGAACACUAUAGAACUCAAUAGCUUCAAAGGAACACUAUAUAACUCAAUAGCUUCCAAGGAACACUACAUAACUCAAUCAAGACACACUACAAAACUUAUAACUGAUAUGUUCUAUUACUAAUAGAUUCCAAGGGCUAGAUCUAAUUCUUAUCAAUAUAACAUGAUUUUUUUUUUUAAAAUAGUGUGUGAUCUAUGCUCAAGAGUCUAAAAAUUAAACCCACAAUUAUUAUUAGUUUUGAGUACAUUCACGAUAAUUGAACAAUUGUUAACUAAAUCUUCCAAACAAAUAAUGUGGGUUCAGUUAGCCAUUCAAAUUUCAUCAGACUAUAUUAGAAAAAAAAAAUUAUGCUUUAGACUAAGAAAAAUAACUAUUGUAAAAGAACACGAAAAACCUUGAAAAUCCUAUGAGUGCAACAUGCUUGUGGCCAUAUUUCGUAACGUUAUAUAUGCAAAAGAAAUAUAUUUGUAUAUAUAUAAUGAAAAUUUAUGAACCUACACAUGCGCACAUCUAAUGAUAAUUACUUACUCUGCAUUUUUCAUUUUGGCAAAUCCAUCUCCAAGAAUGUUGUAAGUUACCAAGCUCAUUUCUAUGCCUUCUUUCAUUUUUCUAACACAAGAUAGUAUGAAUAAGGCUGCACAUCAUUAAAGCUUACUCUUAUCGCAAGGCGACACUGUUGAAAAAACAUUUAGAUUUAAUUAAUAUAGUAAAUAUACUUUGGCAAUGACAUAUCUACCAUCAGAGUAUAUAUUUCAAGCAUAAAAUACAUAAUUGACCUUCUAUACAAAUAAAUCAAACUUUAAUCAUAUCCAAAACUGGAAUGGUGACCUUUGUAUUGCAUCAAACCUUAUAGAACACAAGCUCGACUAGCAACUUCUCAAUUUGGCUUCGCAUUUUCUGUAUUUGAGCUCCUAAAGGAUCUCAUUUGAUCUAAAAACAAAAAAUAUUAAUAGUAAUGAAGAAAGCAGUCAAUAGUCUCCCUAAUAACUCCUAUAAACACACAAAAAAAAAAAAAACAUUGUUCUCCGUAAAUUCUUUUGUAGACUGACAAUGAAAAAGUUCAAACAAAGUGCCGUGAAAGUCAAGGGAUAUCUCAAAUGACUAUGAGCAAAUUUAUCAACAUAUAAAUAAGAAUAGAAAUUAACCAGAUUUUAAGAACAUCUGUUGCUCAUUCCCCUUGUCUUACAUGACCAGAUCAUAAUGCAAGACUUGAUAAGUAUACCCACUUGCUCUCCACAUAAUGCUUUUGAGAUAUUUCCAACCGCGAGAAGAUUAAAGAGGACAACUAUAAAAAUAAAUUUUGGUAGGAUUUCAUUAUGAUUUUUCAACAACAAUGCAAUAAAGUGAAAAAAGAAACUGAAAUCCUAAGAACCUGAGGACCAUUUAAACAUUAUAUAAUUUUAGAUUCUAGCAUCUACUCUACCUCAUGGAUGAAAGCACAUCAAAACUUAUAUUUUUAGUGCUAUAACAUUUUUUUCAGUUCAACAAAACAUCAAAAUGAAGGUGGGAAAUUCAAUCUUCUAAUUUCUUGUCUGUAUCUUUACUAGGUAAAGUAUACUCAGGUUCGCUAGUAUUAUGAUGUUAAACCAUAAUAUUAAAAUGAUGUAAUUUUUGAAGAAUAAACUUGAAAACGUACCAAGAAGGUUGUUCUCUUCCCAUAAAGUUAAUAUGCAGUAAUGUCCAUGCUAGUGGCACCUCCUGAUACCAAUUCCCUGAAAGACCAAUAAAAUGGUGAAAUUAAGUGAAAAUUUUAAUAUACAAUAAUGCAAAACAAACAAACAAAAUUGUUUAAUAAUAUGC